UAUAAAUUUCUUAUGUUGCUUUUAAAUCAUUAGUUUUAACUCUGUAUAUGCUUGUGAAUUUAACCAAAUUUUAAAUUAUUUGAGAGAAAAAAGGUGGACUAUCAAUUACUGUAGCCAGAAAUCAUAGCUGUUAUUUUUUUAAAGGAAUAUGCCUGAAUUGCAUAAAAUAUGACCACUUUUCCUUGAGUCAUUUUCAUUUGCCUUUCAGAGACAGCAAACGGGGCUAAUUUUCUUUUUGUAACACUACUCAAAUAUUCGCACAUGGUCUGAGUUGUCUAAAACCUCUCUCUUUUUCUCCCACAAAAUUACCUACUGAGUACAAUGUCCAUUAUUUGGGUGAUGAAUAUAAUUGAAACCCAAACCUCAUCAUCACACUAUAUAGCCAUGUAACAAACCUAUGCGUGUACCCCCUGGGUCCCCUGAAUUAAACUUUCUUUUUUUAAAUUUUGUUUCCUACCAGUAACUUUAUGAGUUUCUUCUCAGAUACUUUCACUUGCAGCCAUCCGGUGCUCUGCCUGAAAACCAAGACACUAGUUUCUGCAAAUGUGUUAAAUAAGCAGUGAUCUUACCCAGACAUUAAAAUAACCAAAGCAGAUUGAGCAUGUAACCCCUUGGUGAUGAAUUCAGUCUGUAAACGUUCAACCUGGUGGUGUUGUCUUUAAUGGUGCAACUAGUGAAGAAUGCAGGUGGGAAGAAAGGUUGUUUUCUUUCUUGACUGUGAUCUGGAAAUGUACAACCAGAGGAUCUCAAUAAAUGCUCCAAUGUGUGACCAGCUAAUUUUAUUAACAUCAGUUCUCUAUGAAAUGAUGCUGCAUUUACUCGGUAACAGAAGGAAGUGGCAUGAAUGAGAGGCGGUGGACACUAAUCUGUGACUGAGAUAGAGGAGCUACCACCGAUGAAGACCGGUCAUCUGGGUUUCACAUUUCUCUGUGAAUGAACAGUUUUGAAAGACUAAGCCUCGUGUAUCUAUUCUCCUUUAAAAGUACUGCCUUCCUAAGGAAAACACCCUCAAUGUAUUCAUUUUGUUUCAGUUCUUUGUCUGGAGCUGUUGCUACAACUGCUUUAAUGAGAGACAAUUUUUUUUUUCUAUC